CAAGUCCUUGUAUUUUGAGAUAUAAAGAGCCAACCAACAAGGAAAACCAAGAACCUUUUUGAAAUCGUGAAGUUUGAGGAAACAAGCAGCACGAUUACUGUGAAGAGCGAUCUUUUGGGAGUUUGUUUUAGCCAAAGAAAGAGCAUCGGUAUAAAAACCCAGAGCUUGGGCAUAUCUACCUUCCCUGUACAUCUGGUGAGCUCUUUCGAUG
rnacentral:misc_RNA from 1 species